CCUACGGUGGGCUGCAGUGGGGAAUAUUGGACAAUGGGCGAAAGCCUGAUCCAGCCAUGCCGCGUGUGUGAAGAAGGCCUUCGGGUUGUAAAGCACUUUCAGUGGGGAAGAAAGCCUUGGGGCUAAUACCCUCGAGGAAGGACAUCACCCACAGAAGAAGCACCGGCUAACUCCGUGCCAGCAGCCGCGGUAAUACGGAGGGUGCGAGCGUUAAUCGGAAUUACUGGGCGUAAAGCGCGCGUAGGCGGUCUGAUAAGCCGGUUGUGAAAGCCCCGGGCUCAACCUGGGAACGGCAUCCGGAACUGUCAGGCUAGAGUGCAGGAGAGGAAGGUAGAAUUCCCGGUGUAGCGGUGAAAUGCGUUGAGAGCGGGAGGAAUACCAGUGGCGAAGGCGGCCUUCUGGACUGACACUGACGCUGAGGUGCGAAAGCGUGGGUAGCAAACAGGAUUAGAUACCCUUGUAGUC
rnacentral:rRNA from 1 species